UACGGAGGGGGCUAGCGUUGUUCGGAAUUACUGGGCGUAAAGCGCACGUAGGCGGCUUUGUAAGUUAGAGGUGAAAGCCCGGGGCUCAACCCCGGAACUGCCCUCGAAACUAGAUAGCUAGAAUCUUGGAGAGGCGAGUGGAAUUCCGAGUGUAGAGGUGAAAUUCGUAGAUAUUCGGAAGAACACCAGUGGCGAAGGCGACUCGCUGGACAAGUAUUGACGCUGAGGUGCGAAAGCGUGGGGAGCAAACAGG
rnacentral:rRNA from 1 species